UCGGGAACCGUGAGACAGGUGCUGCAUGGCUGUCGUCAGCUCGUGUUGUGAAAUGUUGGGUUAAGUCCCGCAACGAGCGCAACCCUUAUCCUUUGUUGCCAGCGGUUAGGCCGGGAACUCAAAGGAGACUGCCAGUGAUAAACUGGAGGAAGGUGGGGAUGACGUCAAGUCAUCAUGGCCCUUACGACCAGGGCUACACACGUGCUACAAUGGCGCAUACAAAGAGAAGCGACCUCGCGAGAGCAAGCGGACCUCAUAAAGUGCGUCGUAGUCCGGAUUGGAGUCUGCAACUCGACUCCAUGAAGUCGGAAUCGCUAGUAAUCGUGGAUCAGAAUGCCACGGUGAAUACGUUCCCGGGCCUUGUACACACCGCCCGUCACACCAUGGGAGUGGGUUGCAAAAGAAGUAGGUAGCUUAACCUUCGGGAGGGCGCUUACCACUUUGUGAUUCAUGACUGGGGUGAAGUCGUAACAAGGUAACCGUAGGGGAACCUGC
rnacentral:rRNA from 1 species